rnacentral:rRNA from 1 species
CCUACGGGAGGCAGCAGUGAGGAAUAUUGGUCAAUGGCCGUGAGUCUGAACCAGCCAAGUCGCGUGAAGGAUGACUGCUCUAUGGGUUGUAAACUUCUUUUAUAUGGGAAUAAAGUGUUCCACGUGUGGGUUUUUGUAUGUACCCUAUGAAUAAGGAUCGGCUAACUCCGUGCCAGCAGCCGCGGUAAUACGGAGGAUCCGAGCGUUAUCCGGAUUUAUUGGGUUUAAAGGGAGCGUAGGUGGAUUGUUAAGUCAGUGGUGAAAGUUUGCGGCUCAACCGUAAAAUUGCAGUUGAAACUGGCAGUCUUGAGUACAGUAGAGGUAGGCGAAAUGCGUGGUGUAGCGGUGAAAUGCUUAGAUAUCACGAAGAACUCCGAUUGCGAAGGCAGUUCACUGGACUGCAACUGACACUGAGGCUCGAAAGUGUGGGUAUCAAACAGGAUUAGAUACCCCAGUAGUC